rnacentral:rRNA from 1 species
UAGGGAAUCUUCCGCAAUGGGCGAAAGCCUGACGGAGCAACGCCGCGUGAGUGAUGAAGGUCUUCGGAUCGUAAAACUCUGUUAUUAGGGAAGAACAAAUGUGUAAGUAACUAUGCACGUCUUGACGGUACCUAAUCAGAAAGCCACGGCUAACUACGUGCCAGCAGCCGCGGUAAUACGUAGGUGGCAAGCGUUAUCCGGAAUUAUUGGGCGUAAAGCGCGCGUAGGCGGUUUUUUAAGUCUGAUGUGAAAGCCCACGGCUCAACCGUGGAGGGUCAUUGGAAACUGGAAAACUUGAGUGCAGAAGAGGAAAGUGGAAUUCCAUGUGUAGCGGUGAAAUGCGCAGAGAUAUGGAGGAACACCAGUGGCGAAGGCGACUUUCUGGUCUGUAACGGACGCUGAUGUGCGAAAGCGUGGGGAUCAAACAGG